rfam:Paenibacillus mucilaginosus 3016, complete genome.
GGGUGAUGUCUACUGUACCCUUAUCAUUGUAGGCACUCGGUCAUGCUGUGGGACUUCGAUCCUUAGACGCCAGUCGUCGAGGGUGUGAUAUGAGGGUGGGUGAAAUGCCCU